AACCAAUGGCCUCCUGAACGCGCAUUGCACUCUUGGGCUUCCCUGAGAGUAUGUUUGCUUCAGUGCUUC
rnacentral:rRNA from 1 species